rnacentral:tRNA from 1 species
GGUGAGAUGUCCGAGUGGUCGAAGGAGCACGCCUGGAAAGUGUGUAUGCCGAAAGGCAUCGAGGGUUCGAAUCCCUCUCUCACCGCCA